ACUAAGCCAUUAGGCGGAUGACUUGGCUCAGACUUUGAUGAAGAGCGUGACAAGCAGCGAAAUGUUAUGGGGAGACGCAAGUAGUCUUCGAACCAUAAAUUCUUGAAUGAGACUUCUUUCCCUUUUAGGGAAUUCCAUUCUGGAAAAACUACGGAGGAAAUUGAAGCGUCUUAGUACCUCCAGGAAAAGAAAUCAAUAGAGAUACCGUUAGUAUCAGCGAGAGAAAACGGUGUAAGGCAAACUGAAUUCUUUGUAGAAAUACAAAGAAGGUGUGGUGUUGCGGACUUGUUUUUAUUCCUAAUUAAAAAUUACAAAGUUGUCUGGAAAGAUAUACCAUAGAGGGUGAUAGUCCCGUAGAAAUUUUUAAUGGAAGUACAAGUAUCCAGAGUAAGGUUUGCUGGAAACCAAACCUGAAUUUAGGAGUCACAAACUUCUAACUUUAAAUAUAGGUCUGAGUCCGAUAGAGCACAAGUACCGUGAGGGAAAGUUGAAAAGAACCCGCAAUAGGGAGUCAAAAGCGCCUGAAACCUAAUGGUCAUGGUAUGUUACGGCUCUAUGGGGUUGUAACGUACGUUUCGAAUAACGGGCCAGGAAGUUUAUUGCAGUGGCGAGAGUAAAGUUUUAAAGACUGUACUCGAAGGGAAACCAAUAGUAUGCAGUUCACGAGAUACGAAGUGCGAAAGUGCUUUUAGUCACUGCGAUAUGACCCGAAACCAGGUGAUCUAACCCUUAGCAAGGUGAAGUAGUGGUAAAACUCUAUGGAGGCCUGAAGACGGAUUUGGGGUUUUGGGGGGGAAACUCCUCGACUCUUUGUCCAACUCAAAAUGCUAUAACAUCUAAGAAGCGAGCAGACGGCAUUACCGGGGUAAACUUGUAAUGCUAGAGAGGAACAACUCAAGACUAUAGUUAAGGUCCCUAAAUUCUGAUUAAGUGUUAAAGGGUGAAAGAUGUUUACUACCAAAAACAGUGGGGAGGUAGGCUUAGAAGCAGCCACCCUUCAAAGAAAGCGUAAUAGCUCACCCAUCGAGGUAGUAAGCUCUUAAAAUGGACGGGGCUAAAUCAGAUACCGAUACUAUAGAUAAGUUUCAAUAGAAAUUUGUGGUAGGUAGGUAUUCCAUCAGGGCGGAAGCCUCUAUGUAAAUAGGGGUUGACCUUAUGGGAAUAAGAAUCCUGGCGGUAGUAGGAUCUAAACAGAGUGAAACUCUCUGAUACCGAAAGGGCAAGGGUUUCUUGGCCACGUAGAUCAGCCAAGAGUAAGUCGAUCCUAACUUUAGAAGCGUAAAUGCUUCAAGGGAAUGGGAAAAAGGUUAAUAUUCCUUUACCUUUCAAAUACGUGUGGUAACACAAGAUUAUUCAUUGACACUUUGGGCUAAGCUAGCAUUUACUGUCGUAAAUGUUAAUCUGUAUAAAUCUUAGGAGUGUUGUAAUGACGAGAACAAGAUUAAACUGAGAAUAGCAGGUUCUAAAUCUGUCUAGCCGAUGCCGAGAGUCCAUGAAAAGAUGAAUAAUAAGGAUUUUGAAUGAUCGUACCUAGAACCAACACUGGUGCCCCUAGGUGAGAAGCCUAAGGUAUGAGGGUGUAAUCUAGCUAAGGGAACUCGGCAAAUUAGUCCCGUGCCUUUGGUAUAAGGGAUCCCUGCGAUUGUGUUCUUUUGAAUGCAAUUACAGGGUGCAAUGACAAGGGGUGCCCGACUGUUUAACAAAAACAUAACCUCUCGCAAGUCCGUAAGGAUGUGUACGCGAGGUGACGCCUGCCCAGUACCUGUAAUUUAAACUCCUUUUCAAGGGGGCUAAGAUCAGGCAAACGGCGGGAAUAACUAUGAUUCUCUUAAGGUAGCGAAAUACCUUGUCGUUUUAUUGACGACGCGCAUGAAUGGCGUAACGAGGUGCCCACUGUCCCUAGCUAGAAACCCCUGAAUACACUCUUGUGGUGCAAAGGCCAUAGUCUUCUGAUGGGAAGUAAAGACCCCGUGAAGCUUUACUGUAGCUUGUUGUUGUGGUGUGGGGCGUAUUGUGCAGUGUAGGUAGUAGUCGUCCGAUGGUUUAGACGCAAGUUUAGACCUAGACAUCAAUGAGACACUACCCCUUAUGUCUUAUAUCACUAACUUUAGAAAUAAAGGACAGCAGUAGGCAGACAGUUUGGCUGGGGCGGCACCCUGCUGAAAAUGUAUCGGCAGGGCCCAAAGGUCAGCUCAGGAGGUUUAGAAAUCCUCUGUAGAGUGCAAGAGCAAAAGCUGGCCUGACUGUAUUCCUAUAAGUAUGGAAUGCAGGAUGGAAACAUGGGUCUAGCGAACCCUUAUGCCCUUAUUUGUGGGGGCUAAGUAUGACAGAAAAGCUACUCCGGGGAUAACAGAGUUGUCGCGCCUAAGAGCUCGCAUCGACGGCGCGGUUUGCUACAUCGACGUCGGCUCUUCCUAACCUGGUCGUGCAGAAGCGACCAAGGGUGGGGGUGUUCACCCAUUAAAAGGGAUCGUGAGCUGGGUUCAAAACGUUGCGAAACAGUUUGUUCAAUAUCUGUCAGAAGUGUCUGGUGUCUGAGAGGAAGGAGUAUUUAGUACGAAAGGAACAAUACUUCGGGGCCUCUGGUCUAUCGGUUGUCUGACAAGGCAGGCCGAGCAGCUACGCCCCAAGAAAUAACAGCUGAAAGCAUCUAAGCUGGAAGUUCUCCUCAAAAAGAGACACCUUCUUAGAGCUCUUCUAAAACAGAAGUUUAAUAGGGCUGGGAUGUAAGCAUCAAGGUAACGAGAUGUUCAGUCUGCAGCUACUAAUCGCUCAAAGGAUUAACU
rnacentral:rRNA from 1 species